GGCACAACCAGGCCACGGAGCCAGCCUCCUGGCUCCCGGUCCAGGGCUUCUGCCCAGGGGAAACACUGGCCUUGUGUGCUUCUAUCAAGUUACUUCUCACCAAAAAUCUGCAAGGCUACUAGAAGAAGAUCCAGUCUAGAGAGUGUCCGUGGAAGGAAGGUGAAGAACUGUGAAGUCUGUAUGAGGAGACAGCACCAGAGUUGUGCUGACCUGUGGAGCAAGUGGCAGUUAAAACAUCAAAG